AUACGGAGGGUGCAAGCGUUACUCGGAAUCACUGGGCGUAAAGCGCGCGCAGGCGGCUAUUUAAGUUGGAUGUGGAAGCCUAUGGCUCAACCAUAGAACUGUAUCCAAAACUAUUUAGCUAGAGUGUGGGAGAGGAAGAUGGAAUUAGUUGUGUAGGGGUAAAAUCCGUAGAGAUAACUAGGAAUACCAAAAGCGAAGGCAAUCUUCUGGAACACUACUGACGCUGAGGCGCGAAAGCGUGGGGAGCAAACGGGAUUAGAAACCCUAGUAGUCC
rnacentral:rRNA from 1 species